rnacentral:rRNA from 1 species
UACGAGGGGUGCAAGCGUUGCUCGGAAUUAUUGGGCGUAAAGGGUAGGUAGGUGGUCUCGUUUGUCUGGGGUGAAAGCCUUGAGCUUAACUCAAGAAGUGCCCCGGAAACGGCGAGACUAGAGUUCUGGAGAGGGUCGUGGAAUUCCCGGUGUAGCGGUGAAAUGCGUAGAGAUCGGGUGGAACACCAGGGGCGAAGGCGGCAUCCUGGCUCUGUACUGACGCUGAGGCGCGAGAGCGUGGGGAGCGAACAGG